GUCUAAUACGACCAAGCUUAAUUUGCUUGAUUCACUUCUACAAGAGGUAAAGUGUGCAUAGCCUUGUGGCUUGCAGUCCUUUUCUUCUGGCGCCAAAGAUGGCGCCUUU
rnacentral:misc_RNA from 1 species